rnacentral:tRNA from 2 species
GGUCCUAUGGUGUAAUGGUUAGCACUCUGGACUCUGAAUCCAGCGAUCUGAGUUCAAAUCUCGGUGGGACCU